rnacentral:rRNA from 1 species
GGUCUUGACAUCCACGGAAGUUUUCAGAGAUGAGAAUGUGCCUUCGGGAACCGUGAGACAGGUGCUGCAUGGCUGUCGUCAGCUCGUGUUGUGAAAUGUUGGGUUAAGUCCCGCAACGAGCGCAACCCUUAUCCUUUGUUGCCAGCGGUCCGGCCGGGAACUCAAAGGAGACUGCCAGUGAUAAACUGGAGGAAGGUGGGGAUGACGUCAAGUCAUCAUGGCCCUUACGACCAGGGCUACACACGUGCUACAAUGGCGCA